rnacentral:rRNA from 1 species
UACGUAGGGGGCGAGCGUUGUCCGGAUUUACUGGGCGUAAAGAGCGCGUAGGCGGAAAUUUAAGCGUGGCCUGAAAGCCCCCGGCUCAACCGGGGAGUGCGGCUGCGAACUGGGUUUCUUGAGAACGAUAGAGGAGAGUGGAAUUCCUGGUGUAGCGGUGAAAUGCGUAGAUAUCUGGAGGAAUACCGGUGGCGAAGGCGGCAUCCUGGACCGAGAUUGACGCUGAGGAGCGAAAGCUAGGGGAGCAAACGGG